rnacentral:rRNA from 1 species
CCUACGGGAGGCUGCAGUGGGGAAUUUUGGACAAUGGGCGAAAGCCUGAUCCAGCAAUGCCGCGUGUGUGAAGAAGGCCUUCGGGUUGUAAAGCACUUUUGUCCGGAAAGAAAUCCGUCUGGCUAAUACCCGGACGGGAUGACGGUACCGGAAGAAUAAGCACCGGCUAACUACGUGCCAGCAGCCGCGGUAAUACGUAGGGUGCAAGCGUUAUACGGAAUUACUGGGCGGCUUGGUAGGACAGGUGGCAAAUCCCCGGGCUCAACCUGGGAACUGCAUUUGUGACUGCAAGGCUAGAGUGCGUCAGAGGGAGGUGGAAUUCCGCGUGUAGCAGUGAAAUGCGUAGAGAUGCGGAGGAACACCGAUGGCGAAGGCAGCCUCCUGGGAUGACACUGACGCUCAUGCACGAAAGCGUGGGGAGCAAACAGGAUUAGAUACCCCAGUAGUC